rnacentral:rRNA from 1 species
GACGAACGCUGGCGGCGCGCCUAAUACAUGCAAGUCGAACGCACAGUUUAUACCGUAGCUUGCUCCACCAUAGACUGUGAGUUGCGAACGGGUGAGUAACGCGUAGGUAACCUGCCUGGUAGCGGGGGAUAACUAUUGGAAACGAUAGCUAAUACCGCAUAAUAUUGAUUAUUGCAUGAUAAUUGAUUGAAAGGUGCUAUUGCAUCACUACCAGAUGGACCUGCGUUGUAUUAGCUAGUAGGUGAGGUAACGGCUCACCUAGGCGACGAUACAUAGCCGACCUGAGAGGGUGAUCGGCCACACUGGGACUGAGACACGGCCCAGACUCCUACGGGAGGCAGCAGUAGGGAAUCUUCGGCAAUGGACGAAAGUCUGACCGAGCAACGCCGCGUGAGUGAAGAAGGUUUUCGGAUCGUAAAGCUCGGUUGUAAGAGAAGAACGGGUGUGAGAGUGGAAAGUUCACACUGUGACGGUAUCUUACCAGAAAGGGACGGCUAACUACGUG